rnacentral:tRNA from 1 species
AAAGUAUUAGUUUAUAUAAAACAUAAGCUUGUCAAGCUUAAAUUGUAACUUUUACAUACUUUU